rnacentral:snoRNA from 1 species
UUUCUGAUGACAUGAGCGCAUUUGGCUCGAGCAUGGUAAUGGAACCCUCCUACCACUAUUCUUGUGGCUGGAAUCUGUUCGUUGCCGUCACUGAUGUAAACAUCCUGCUACCUUACAAUUAUUUUGUCUGAAAAU